rnacentral:rRNA from 1 species
AGAAUCAACGCUGGCGGCGUGCCUAACACAUGCAAGUCGAACGCGGUUACCCCGCAAGGGGUGACUGAGUGGCGAACGGGUGAGUAACACGUGGGUGACCUACCUUCGAGUGGGGGAUAACGUCCCGAAAGGGACGCUAAUACCGCAUAACAUCCCGCCUUUGAACAGGUGGAGAUCAAAGCUGGGGAUCGUAAGACCUGGCGCUUGAUGAGGGGCCCGCGUCCGAUUAGCUAGUUGGUGAGGUAACGGCUCACCAAGGCAACGAUC